AACGAACGCUGGCGGCGCGUUUUAAGCAUGCAAGUCGAGCGGUAAGGUCCUUUUUGGACCCUAGAGCGGCGGACGGGUGAGUAACACGUGGAUAAUCUGCCUUCCAGUUUGGGAUAGCACAUGGAAACAUGUGAUAAUACCGAAUGAGAUACACCCUACACAGGUAGGGAGUAGGAAAGCUCCUGCGGGAGCGCUGGAAGAUGAGUCCGCGGCCCAUUAGCUAGUUGGCGGGGUAAAGGCCCACCAAGGCGACGAUGGGUAGCCGGCCUGAGAGGGUGGACGGCCACAUUGGGACUGAGACACGGCCCAGACUCCUACGGGAGGCAGCAGCUAAGAAUCUUCCACAAUGGACGAAAGUCUGAUGGAGCGACGCCGCGUGAACGAUGAAGGCCGUAAGGUUGUAAAGUUCUUUUGGAAGGAAGAAUAAGCUUGGCAGGGAAUGGCCGAGUGAUGACGUGAAUUCCAGAAUAAGCCCGGCUAACUACGUGCCAGCCGCCGCCGU
rnacentral:rRNA from 1 species